UACCGAUAGUGGAUGCGAUGGGGGGACGGAGAAAGUUAGGUGGGCCGGGUGUUGGAUGUCCCGGUGAAAGCGUGUAGGCGUGGGCUCCUGGCAAAUCCGGAGCUCUUAGCUGAGGCGUGAUGACGGAAGGCCCUUCGGGGCGCCAAGCCACUGAUACUCUGCUUCCAGGAAAAGCCUCUAAGCUUCAGUUCACUAUUGACCGUACCGCAAACCGACACAGGUGGGCAGGAUGAGAAUUCUAAGGCGCUUGAGAGAACUCGGGUGAAGGAACUCGGCAAAUUAGCACCGUAACUUCGGGAAAAGGUGCGCCCCUGUUAGGUGAAGGAGUACAUCCGGAGCCGAGAGGGGUCGCAGUGAAAAGGUGGCUGCGACUGUUUAACAAAAACACAGCACUCUGCUAAGACGAAAGUCGACGUAUAGGGUGUGACGCCUGCCCGGUGCCGGAAGGUUAAAUGAUGGGGUGCAAGCUCUUGAUUGAAGCCCCGGUAAACGGCGGCCGUAACAAUAACGGUCCUAAGGUAGCGAAAUUCCUUGUCGGGUAAGUUCCGACCCGCACGAAUGGCGUAACGAUGGCCACACUGUCUCCACCCGAGACUCAGCGAAGUUGAAAUGUUUGUGAAGAUGCAAUCUCCCCGCGGCAAGACGGAAAGACCCCGUGCACCUUUACUGUAGCUUUACAUUGGAUUGUGACAAGACUUGUGUAGGAUAGCUGGGAGGCGAUGAAGCGAUGGCGCUAGCUGUCGUGGAGCCAACGUUGAAAUACCAGCCUGGUGUUGUUGCGGUUCUAACCUGGACCCCUGAUCGGGGUUGGGGACCGUGUAUGGUAGGCAGUUUGACUGGGGCGGUCUCCUCCCAAAGAGUAACGGAGGAGCUCGAAGGUCCGCUAGGUACGGUCGGACAUCGUACUGAUAGUGCAAUGGCAUAAGCGGGCUUAACUGCGAGCCUGACAAGGCGAGCAGGUGCGAAAGCAGGACAUAGUGAUCCGGUGGUUCUGUAUGGAAGGGCCAUCGCUCAACGGAUAAAAGGUACGCCGGGGAUAACAGGCUGAUACCGCCCAAGAGUUCAUAUCGACGGCGGUGUUUGGCACCUCGAUGUCGGCUCAUCACAUCCUGGGGCUGUAGCCGGUCCCAAGGGUAUGGCUGUUCGCCAUUUAAAGUGGUACGUGAGCUGGGUUCAAAACGUCGUGAGACAGUUUGGUCCCUAUCUGCCGUGGGCGCUGGAAGUUUGAGAGGGCCUGCUCCUAGUACGAGAGGACCGGAGUGGACGCAUCUCUGGUGUACCGGUUAUCACGCCAGUGGUAUUGCCGGGUAGCUAUAUGCGGAAGAGAUAACCGCUGAAAGCAUCUAAGCGGGAAACUCGCCUCAAGAUAAGACUUCCUGGAGGGUUAACCUCCCUGAAGGGUCGUCGCAGACUACGACGUUGAUAGGCGGGGUGUGGAAGCGCAGUAAUGCGUUAAGCUAACCCGUACUAAUGGCCCGUGCAGCUUGAUCCU
rnacentral:rRNA from 1 species